rnacentral:rRNA from 1 species
GAUGAACGCUGGCGGCGUGCCUAAUACAUGCAAGUCGAGCGAACAGACGAGGAGCUUGCUCCUCUGACGUUAGCGGCGGACGGGUGAGUAACACGUGGAUAACCUACCUAUAAGACUGGGAUAACUGCGGGAAACCGGAGCUCAUACCGGAUAAUAUCUUGAACCGCAUGGUUCAAUAGUGAAAGACGGUUUUGCUGUCACUUAUAGAUGGAUCCGCGCCGCAUUAGCUAGUUGGUAAGGUAACGGCUUACCAAGGCAACGAUGCGUAGCCGACCUGAGAGGGUGAUCGGCCACACUGGAACUGAGACACGGUCCAGACUCCUACGGGAGGCAGCAGCAGGGAAUCUUCCGCAAUGGGCGAAAGCCUGACGGAGCAACGCCGCGUGAGUGAUGAAGGUCUUCGGAUCGUAAAACUCUGUUAUUAGGGAAGAACAAAUGUGUAAGUAACUAUGCACGUCUUGACGGUACCUAAUCAGAAAGCCACGGCUAACUACGUG